rnacentral:rRNA from 1 species
GUUGAACGCUGGCGGCAGGCCUAACACAUGCAAGUCGAACGAGUGGCGGACGUGUGAGUCAUGUCUGGGAACCUGCCUUAUGGAGGGGGCUAAAUCCUGGAAACGGUAGUUAUUACCGCAUACCAUCAGCUGUGCCCAGAUGGUGUUAUCUUGUUGGUUGGGUAACGGCUCACCACGGAGACGAUCCAUAGCGGGUCUGAGAGGGUGACCAGCCACACUGGAACUGAGACACGGUCCAGACUCCUACGGGAGGCAGCAGUGGGGAAUAUUGCACAAUGGGCGCAAGCCUGAUGCAGCCAUGCCGCGUGUAUGAAGAAGGCCUUCGGGUUGUAAAGUACUUUCAGCGGGGAGGCGUUACCCGCAGAAGAAGCACCGGCUAACUCCGUGCCAGCAGCCGCGGUAAUAC